UUCAAGUUAAUUUCCGAUGACGUUUUGGAAAUGAUUUCGUGGUCGUGGACACGAGUACGAAGCUUAGAGGAGUGUGGAAUUAGUUCGAACGAUUUUAUUUUGAAAACUGAACGUUUUAGGGGGGUCAAAGGAGUUGACUUUUUAUACAUUGGGAAAUUGGGAAAACUUCCUUCAUGAAAGUUGUAGAGCGCGUCGAUACGAGUUCGUGGACAUAUGGAACGUAAUAUUCGGAGUUCGUAUGAAUAAGUUACGAAUAUUUGAAAAUUGGGAUUUUCUAUAAAUAUGAAAAAAAAUCCGAAUAUUGCAAAUGAGGACAGAAUUUCUGGAACUCCAGAAAUUUCUCCCCAUUUCUCUCCCGAGCCCAGCCGCGACCCCCUCCCUUCGUCACCUUCGUUCUUCCUCAUCCGGCCACCGAUUGAUGUGAAACAAAGUGGGUUUUUCUGGUCUCGACCCCCUUUACGAGUUUGUAGAAGAAAUCGAAGUGAAAUACGAGCUGUAUGAGGCUCUACAAGGUCGAGAAGAGAGCCUCGUCGGAGACGAAAUCGCUCUUCCCCACUUUUUCUGGGCUCUACUUUGUCUGGCCAUAUCUUCCUCUACAGGCCUCCGAUCGACCUGAUUCCAAAAGCAAUUUUUCUCACCGUGAAGUUUUCUACAACUUUCCAGAAGACAUCGACUUGAGAUAACCAUCGUGGUGGCCGCUAGAAGACCGAGAAGCCGCACAGCCGAGCUGGAAAUCGUCUUCCUUCGCCACCUUGGUUCUCCCAGCUCCGGCCACUAUAGCUCGAGUUCUUUGAGGGCUUUUCUAGCCCAGAGGAAGUAGAAGCUAUCCCCAAGAAGGCUUGCAGCGAUUUGAUCCGGGGUGAUCGAAUUUUGAAGAUUGGGAAACUAGGGUUCUUCGGGUUUCAAAACUUGCGAGGUGAUUGACGGUCUCCCUUGGGUGAACGAUUUCGGUGUGUAUUGUGUUGAAUUGAAGACGCAGCGGGAAUAUCGAGCGGGUAAUCCUGCAGGUCAGGAGAAUCAGGACGGUGAUCGUGCGGGUUAGAGAAUUUGUUUUAGUUUUACAGCAAUUGUAAUUGUGAGGUGAGUUAUGCUCAUUUGAGCCUUACAAUAUAAUUUGGUGAGAGUGUGCUGUAAUAAACAAAUUUGAGAUUUGGUUUAUGUAAUAUCGAGCGAUGUGAGGUGUGGUUGUUUUGAGAAAAAAUUCAGGUUGUAUUUAUGUGAGUUGUAUUAAUUCAUGUUUCGGAUUUGGAUUUGUUAUUCAAAAUCCGGGGCGUGACAGUUUGGUAUCAGAGCGUAAGGUACAUAUUUGGUGAUAAUCAGUACUCCCCGAGUGAUGGCCCGUCUGCAGCGGAUCCCCAUCGUAUACUCUUCGGUACUGGUAUAAUCAUUGGGUAUGUCUUAGUAUGGGGUCUAGACAGCGUGUAUGUCAGUAGGACGGUAGAGUUGUCUUCUAAGUUCGUAUUAGAAUAAGUUUAGUUUCCGCAGGUUGUAAUCUUUGAGGAAUGGAAACCUCCGGAUUUAACUCUGAUGAGUCAGUGAGGAUUGUUUAUGGAAAUGAGUUUCCUUUUGUAUGUAGAAGUGUUUGGUUGAAGGCAUGGUGUGGACCUAUGCUCGUAUCUGAUGUGGAUACGAGUAUUAAUUGAUAGUAAUUUUGCCUUCUUAAGUUGGACAUACAGAUGCAUUUGAAUAGAUUCUAGACUCAUGUGGAGUUGUGAGUAGUGUUGCGGUUAGGGAAGAAAUUAUUGUGGUUAAUUCUUCCAUGUGCUUGUAAGUUGUUGAGCAGAGUUUGAGGUGCGAGAACGGAGUUUGAUCUCGUGUUUGAGUGAUUGAGACGAACGACUAUAUAUUUGAGUUCUCUCCGAGUACCUAAAAUCUUAAGGGCUAUUUGAAGUGGGACUAGUGGUAGUUUUAGUAUUUCUAAAUUUAAAUCGAGAUCCGAGGAACAUGUUUUGUAUACGUGGUUGAUGUUGCGAGCAUCAUUUUGAUUGAUAUUUUGCGUUUCACAAAGACAACUGGAUUGGAAAUUCUCCGUUUGGACACCUUGGUCUGUUGACCUGACUAUGACUUGUGGACAUAGUUUUAUUUAAGUGAAGGAAAUUGAUUUUGUGAACUAGUUUUCUUAAGUUUUGGAUCGUAGUAUGGAGUUGGACUGAAGUGAAUUUGAGGUUGUUGGUGUUUUAAGUUUACGUAGGCGGGACACUUAAUGUUUUGCAAUGGAGUUGAUUUUGGUCAGUAAAUAAUUGGGAGAGUUAGAAUCAACUCUUUGUAAAAUGAUAUUGGACGAUAGUGUGCGCCUUUGGUGGCUGAUUUUAGAUGAAGUGGUUAAACACAAAUUUGAGUAUUGAUUUUAGUGACUUGUUAGGUAUCCAUAGUGGUUCAAGUGAAUUACUAUGUGAUAUGGAGUGUGAUUCGAUUUCUGAAUCGCUAAAUGUUAAGGAUUGAAUUGUGGUGAGUUUUUGU